UGUAAAACACUGGAACGCUACUGCGACAGAGAGAACAAACAAACACAAGUUAUUGUCGCAAAACAGAGACAGAACUAAUCUCAAAGAAAAUGUGUACGGAGUAAAUUCUACUAAAAUUAAAAAAAAAAAUCCUGGUCGAAGCGAAAGGCUAACAGCCAGCCAUUUUAAAGGGAGAAAAAUGCAUUAUUAAAGCCCGGUCCGAAGAAUAUUACUUGAGCUUGACAAGAAGGCCUAUGUGAAUGAAGGAUUUGUGAUCCAUUUCUGAUGAGCUGAUGCUGCUGAACGAUUCUGAGUGAUGAAGGUUCGCAGUUUCAGCUGCCACUGACCUUGCCCUCUGUAGGCAUAAACGCGGGCUCGUGAUGGCGGCCGCCUGAUCUCCCUC